CCUGGAGUAUGCAAACCGCAGCAAAUUUAUCUGUCAUUGUUUUGGUUUCAACUGGGUCAUGUAGUUUCAGAGGAUGUAAAAGGGCUUCUACACACUUCGAGGUAAAAUUUUCAUCCCAAUAGGUGUAACUCAUAUCAUCAAGUUUCCCAGUUUUACAGAGCUCUCCAACAAGAAGCCUUACUUGUAAUGCAUUUGGACUAGAUUGACCCUGCAAGUUGAACGGAUAGCCGACAACAAAGCCUGCAAGGGACAUACCAAAGUUACGAAAUCAUCCGCCAUCAAGCUGAUGUUUGUCUUUGUCCUGCUCAAUACACUGUAGGAGACAAUGCAAUUGUUAAUCCCAAUAGGAAAAUCCAUUUCUUUAAGGGAAUGCAUGCAGAUCAUAUAUCCCAUCACUAAACUAUCAUAGUAUUGGCCACAAAAAACCAGGUAGGCAGGUGGAUUGUUGCAAAUUCAAGAGAGUCAAUAUCUGAUAAAACAGGGGUGUUAUCCUGAGAUAACCUUAUGCUAGCAGUGCAGACAAUGACCACAAAAUUCUAGAUAAACGCAUACUUCAGCAAAUCUAGAUCCACUCUGUCUGAGUGCUUAGGUAGGUAAAAGGAUAUCAGCUUUAGCCAAGUGCAGUCCGUCCAUCUUAACAAUGGUAAGUGAAGAAUUUCUCGUGAAGAAAAGCCUUAUAAGGCUUAAAUAUGUUAAAGACUAAUAUUUUUAAAAAUAAUAAAGGUACACUAUGAUAGUAGGGAUAAGAUCUUGUGUAUCGAUAUAUUGUAAAUUGCAAAUAAUUUUCCUUAAAGUUUGAAGGCAACUACAGUUAUUUUCUAACAAACCGAAGUUUAGUAUAGUCGAAUUAAUCAAAGAGAAGGACCUAAUACAACAGACACAGCACAAUAAUAGACUGUCUUACAAAAGCCAGAGACCAUACAAACUGAAACAAAUUCUGAUAGUUGGAAGAUUCCAAUCCAACAUGAUAAUGAUUUGAAUGAAGUACAACAAAAAAUGCCGAUCCAUUGAAAUGAGUUGGAAACUCAACAUUCCUACUAAUCCAUGAGAGGAAUGGAAUAUAGAACCGCCUGCAUUUAAAUCAUCACAUAGAAAGUGAUGUUCUAAUUUUUAUGGACACACUGGAAUCACUUCUACAAUAGUUUGAAGUGCAUACCUUAGAGGCAAUGCGAUCCUAUUUUUGUCGUCGGAAACAGCCAGCCCAACAUACUUACUACCAACGUCAAGCCCAAGCAGUCGAGAUUGCUUUCUCCACCCGCCGUCAAUGACUUUCCUGAACAACUGAUCCGCUUUCAACAGCCUCAUUGUAUAUUUACUCCAAUUUCAA
rnacentral:sRNA from 1 species